GGUGGUGGUUCCCAGCAGCAGCUCAGGCGCACGGUACCUGCAGAGAAAGGCACUCCAGGUCGCUGUGGCCAGCCCCUCUCCUUCAGCCAGGGCCAAGCCUCCCAGAGGCUCCACAGUACCCUGAACAACAGGACCACUACUGCCAGGUCCAAUACCCUCUGCUCGAGGCCUGAAAACCAGGGUGACACAGUGGUCACAGCUGUUAAUGGAGAGCUGCCACAUGAGCCUGUCCUGGGCGUUACGAGAACCACCAAGGCCUCGGCACAGGCCUGUGGACAUCAGCCUGCUGGAGUGUGGUUAAUGCACACUCCAGAGGUGCCACAUAGGGACCCUCAUGUCCUCCCUUGCCACAGGUCGUUCUGCCUGUUAACAGGAUGAUCACGGAGCUACGGAGGCCACCCAACUCCCAAGGUGCUUCCAAGCCAGCUCUGAAGGCACCACCUCAGGAAGGUGGACAAGGCUCCAGGGACACCCAGUGAAAGAUGCCGCUACUGUCCUGGCUCGGGGAGACUGGCCAUCCCAACACCACUCGUCACUGUCACUCAUCAAUAAAAUCAGCAACUCUGUGCUCA